UAGAUAGAUAGAUAGAUUCAUCGAGUUUUUCUCCGGGUGAACAGGUUUGUAACUUAAAAAAAACAGCAACUUGACACAACGAACAAACGAAUGUUACAGUAUGAGUUGCUGACACUGAAAAACAUGAACUGUUGUAAUUAGUAGUAAUGCCGCCUUUAUUCGUUAUAUUUUCUGAAUUACGUGAUUGUUAGAUAUCAUCAUCGGAUGAUUCAGCAGUAGGGAGAGGAAGAGGUAGAGAGAGAGGACAGAGAGGCAGUGGUUCAGUGGGAUCUAACGUUAGGUGAGGAGAUGGACGACGAGGAGCGCGAGAGUCAACACAACGACGACAAAGAUACCCGGCAACUACAAGAGACGAUCAAAGUAGAAUUGAAAGUUUUCAAAGGCAGCGAAGAGAAACGACAGAGAGACUUCUGCAGAACAUGAGCCUUGAGGAUCACAUACGCCUCGCAGGUAGAUUGUUGGAGAGGCAGCCGGGUCUGGUCUUUGAUUUAUUGAUCGAGCAUCAGCAAAGACAUGGUGCCCCUACAUCUGCGGAGGUUCCAGGGGUACCAUGGUAGCCACUGCAGAGACAUGCCGACCGACAGGGAGCGGAAAUGCUGUGGACAGGACCCUGCACACUGCGUGAGCCUCCUUCCACAUUUUACACAAUACUGCCUGGAUGAGGGAUAUCUUCGGAUACAUAGACAGUACCGGGAGGAUCUCACUGCUUUCGGAAAUGUAAGGGAGCCUGGUGAUGACAACCGAGAAUACAGCUUAUAGACACUUUAUUUUCUGGCAGCAUGGCUCAUUAGGACAGGGGAACAGGAGAGUCAUUCCAAGCUGCUGUGUUUA